GGGAUCCUGAGGAAGAGGAGGCUCAUGAAGAAGAAUUCUGAGGAGAGAGAAUCACUGCUCUGAGUUUCCUUGUUCAGGAUGUGCUGAUGAACGCAGCAGGAGGUGUGAAUCCAGGGCAGCCAGAAGACGAGGUGCAACCAGACCAGAGUAAUUUAAAAGUAUCCAGUGGACUGCCAGACACAAAAAUGAGACCUGCACAGCAUACCUGAGUGGAUGAAACAGGGCAGGAAAACAUACUGAAGGACAGAGAAGGAAGCAGUACUCCUUUCAAUUAAUGUAUAAUUUCCCUACAUAUUACCAAAAAUUAAAGCUGAAGAAACAUUUUUGAACAAAGCUGUGAAGCUCACUCAUACAGAAUUGCAGACUCAGAAGUCUUCCAAACUGUUAGUUCCAAACAGAGAACUUCAGGAAGCUGCUUCCCUGGAGAAUACUCUGGAUACCUGGACAUGGGCAUGAAACCUUACAGAGGAGUGAAGGGCUGUGAAUCAGAGGUGUAAUCAUCUGAAAGAUCCAGGCAAGUUUGAGUCAGUAAUAGGGACAGAGCGAGAGAGAGCCAUCUUGUGGAAGAUCCCUUCACUAUCGUGCAGUUUUGGGUGCCAGGCACUCCAGAAGCUAAUUCUGGAGACCUUAUUUUUGCAACGAGAGACCUCAAUCACAAGUUCCAGCCUGAGAUGUGCAAAAUGGUUGUAAUGAAGCUGCAAACCAUGUGAAAGCAGUGACAAAAUCCUUUGUGUAGCAGAGAGGGGCUCCAGCUUCAAGCAGAAGAAAGAGAGCAGAGGGCAUCUUUCUGAUAAGAGCGGGUGAUGUGGGUCUAGGAAGGUCUGAGCUCUUGAUAAAGUGAAAAUGAAAGUGAUGCCUGAUGUUCCAGCUUCCCCUCCUGAGUUAAGGGGAUGAGCUACACUUUUCAACCCCUGUAUGAGUAUCCAAAAUUGCAGGUGGAUUUAGGAAGAGAAUCAAACAAUUAUCUGAGGUAUGUCCAGGGAUGACAAGCUCUGAAAUCAGGAUACAUCCAAUGCUGCAGGCUGAGCAAGAUACUGUAGGAUGGAUUAAGAACUAUCAAAUGCUGUAAGAGAAAGAGCCCAAGUCACCUAAAGAUGAUGAGCCAAAUGCCAUGUCAGCCCGAGCUAUGGAAAUGCGCCGCUGGUUGGGGAGCACACCCACUCACAUGGAGCACACCCUCCACAGGACGGCCUUUUCUGAGGACCAGAAGAUACGAGGAGAGAAGAAGCAGUCUGCUACCUGAGAUGAUGUACCCAAAGAUAAGACUUUUUUACUCUUCUGUAAUGUAAAUAUUAACUGGGGUGGAGUGGCUGUGUUGCCAAAGUGCCCAUUUUAGUGACUGUGUGCUUUCUUCUUUUUGGCCACCUUUAUGGAAAAUGGAGCUGUAAGAGGGCAGUGGACAGCUGCACAUGAUGAGAGAGAUCAUGGAGGGCAGGUUGAGACCAAGAAGGAAAUCAUUAGGAGCAUUUCAUACAGUGCUAUUGGAUGUUCUGGUAUGGGAGGUGAUUUUGGGAGAAUGAUGGAAGUCUCAGCCACUGUAAAUGUGUUUCAUGCAGUCUUGAGUAAAAAAAUGUGGAGCAGAACUCCUCUGAUUUUGUAGUUCAAAAUGACAGAGGGUAUUUCCACUUGUUCCCUGCAAGGGUGCCUUUUCUAGACUAGAAACAAUUAUUCAUGUACUUUCUUCCAAAGAGGAGUCUGGUCUUUUCUAAAAUCUGUGGUAUUUUGUGGUGUUUAUCCACAGUAACUCCAAGAUACAUCAGUGAAUUUGAAACAGUCUCAGAGACAGUACCUUGGUUUUGACUGCAGAUGUGUAUUACUGCUUCCUACUGCCUGAAUCCCUUCAAGCACAGUGAAAUUCUCAGCACAAUAAAAA